AAAUCCCUCCUCCAUGAAACCGAAAGAGACUCGCUCUCUGGUUGGCGGUACUUCCUUCCCUGGGUUAUAUGUUAAACGUGCUGUUGCCUUGUGCGAGCAGCUAGCUAGGUCAAUACGGGAAAGGGGGGGAGUGUGGAAAAGUAUUUGCAGCUGACUGAGGCCAACUGGGAAACGGUGUUCAUUCACUAGCUGAACGGGGGAGGCGGGUAGCUAACGUUAGCAUAGCUAGCUGCAUCAAUUUCAGAUUUUAAGAUGUCCCACUCGUCAUCACGUGGCUCCUCGCGCAACACUGACUGCAAGGUCUAUGUGGGUGACUUAGGCAACGGGGCUGCUAAGGGGGAGUUGGAGCGGGCGUUCAGCUACUAUGGACCUCUGCGCAGCGUCUGGGUGGCCAGGAACCCUCCUGGCUUUGCCUUCGUCGAGUACGAAGAUCCCAGAGAUGCUGAGGAUGCGACAAAGGGCAUGGAUGGCAAAGUGCUCUGUGGUUCUCGCAUAAGAGUGGAGUUGUCAACUGGCAUGUCUCGCAAGUCACGCUACGGCCGUCCCAGCCGUCGGCACUUCGACCCCAACGACCGCUGCUACCAAUGUGGCGAGAGUGGCCAUUAUGCAUAUGACUGCUCUCGCUUUAGCAAGAGGGGAGGAGGCCGUCGCCGCAGCAGGUCCCGCUCACGAUCUCGCUCAAGGUCCAGGGGAAGGCGUUACCGUUCACGCAGCCGAAGCAACGACCGUGACCGGCGUAAUAGAUCCCCAUCAUACUCAAAGCGCAGAAGCAGAUCUGGGUCCCCCGCACGUUCCAAGUCCAGAAGUCCAGUGUGCAGAUCCAGGACCCCAGUCCGUCGGUCCAGGACUCCAGUGCGCAGAUCAGUAAGUCGCUCCCGUUCUCGCUCCCAUUCCCGGUCAGUGUCCCACCCCAGGGCGCGGAGCGUCUCCAGAUCUCGCUCCAGGUCCCGCUCGGCCACGACCAGGAAGAAGAGGUAUUAAAUUUGAGGAUCUCCUCAUACCCCUACACCAGGGUUUCCCAAUCCCGGUCUUCGGGACCCCAAGCCGAUCCAGGUCUCCCAGCCAGAGGAAAAGCCCCAUACCCGAUGCUGACUGACCAUGGGGGUGAAACCGCUCCAUGCCCUGCUGUUCCCCUAUCCCCAUUUGCCUCAGGGCUUGAAGCCAUUUAACCCCUUUGUCCAUGUAUUUUGAUUUCUUUCUCCUGUCAUUUAGUUUAUUUAUCCCUUGGUGUUCAUCCUCUGGCUUUGGCAUUAUUAUUUCAUCUGUAUGUACAACAAAUUCCCGAACUGUACAUUUCAAUGGCUCUUUUUACAGUGGUGAUGUUUUUAGCUUUCUGUGCAUUUUGAAUUUGUUAGCCUUUGGCCAGUGUUAAUGGCAAUUUUUUUUCCUUUUCUGACAUAUUUGGCAAUAUAUCAGCUCCAGUCGAGUGCAUUGAAGUGUACUCAUAGCUGUACUAAAAGCAGAAUGAUUUAGGGUUUUAUUUCAUUUUCAAUGUAAAUGGCGGUAUCUUUUUAAUAAAAUGAAUCUUUACACUAGUAAU